AAGGGUCAUAUGAAGCGAGAGUUUCACGUAUGGCUCUGUGAGGGGCUUGGGCUGAAAUGGCCUUGCCUACUCUAC
rnacentral:ncRNA from 2 species